UGCCAGAGUUAACAAAUAGCAGCAUCAGAACCUAUCCCUGAACAGUUUGGGACUUCAGCCUCUCCAUUCCAUCUGCUGGAUGAAAUGGAUCCCCUCCAGAGCCUCCUGAGUCAAACUGGCAGCCCUUCCAUGGGUUUAUUUCCAGGGAUGCCUUUCAUUGCAAGGAGAGCUGUGAACUGAGGAAAGUUUGAGGGAGGACUGAUGGAUUCACUCCAGAGACAGCAGAAGGAUGUUCUUCACUUCUCAGACUUCUUUAGGAGGUUAGCUGUGCAGGUACCAGGGUGUCAAAGGGCCUGGAGGACGCGAGGCAGUGGGAGGAAUUGGAAUGAGGUGCUCUGUUUGUCAUCUGUCUGGACACGAGGCCGCAAAGCACCAGGAAAAGAAGCUGACCAUGGAAUCUCUGGAGCUGGAAAUGCCACAGAGCCAGGGCCUUGUUCCUGCAGCUGCUACAAGUCACAGGACUCAAAGACCUUUCCCUCAUGGCCAUGGCUAACUUUUCCUGGUUAAAUACGAUUGAAGGAUUGUACUCAUUGACUGUUGCACAUCAGAGACUGAUCUGUGGCUGCAGUAGCUGAUUGUGUCCCCGUGGAUCUUUGUAUUCCUGCACAUUCUGAGAGCUGCUACUCCCAAAUGAAGCCAGCCUUUCCUUCUCAUCCCUGUUUUUAAAGCAUGGACUCAUUGCUCCAUCUGGCAGGUUUCAUUUCAGUGCUCUGAGGUUUAGAGAGGCUGUUUCUGGUACAAAGCCUUGUUACCACCCCCCUGCUGUACAUGUUUCACUUGAACUUUCCAUAAGUACUCCAAAACCUGAGGGAAGUCAGCAAAGCAUGGGUGGUGCUGAAAUCCAGUAGUUGCAUCAUGAUCCCUUUCUGCAGACAUGCUGUUUCAUUCCCAUCUAUAGGAGGAAUCUAUUCCCAUCUAUAAUCUCCUAUUAAAAACAAUUAUUUGAUAUCACAGACUUUUAAAACACAUCUGAAGUUUGACAAGUGGAAGGCCACUGCUUUUCAUUUCCCGCAGCGUUAAAGGUCAAGGAAGAAACAUAAGAAACAGCCAACUGAUUGAGUAAUUCACCCAAUAUUCAGCAAGAGGACCCCUCAGAGCAAUAAGGACCUGUGUUAAUCUGCGUGGCUCCCUCUGAACGGGAACCCGGCAAACCCCGCAGCGAGCGAGCCCUCCUCGGCAUCCCCCAGUGCCCUCGAUCGUACCUGUGGACGUGGCUUGCACGGUUUUCCUCAUCCACUCGUAGGAGCUGUGCCUGUGGCUGCUGGGGGAGAUGUGCUGGGCACUGCUGGGCUCUGCGGGAGGGUUGGCCCCGGGCUGCAGGGCGCUGUACUCGGCAGGGCUGUAGGAGCCCUGCGCGGGGGACGAGGCGCUGAGCUGGGCGGU